rnacentral:rRNA from 1 species
UACGUAGGGUGCGAGCGUUAAUCGGAAUUACUGGGCGUAAAGCGUGCGCAGGCGGUUUUGUAAGUCAGAUGUGAAAUCCCCGAGCUCAACUUGGGAACUGCGUUUGAAACUACAAGACUAGAAUAUGUCAGAGGGGGGUAGAAUUCCACGUGUAGCAGUGAAAUGCGUAGAUAUGCGGAGGAACACCGAUGGCGAAGGCAAUCCCCUGGACCUGUACUGACGCUCAUGCACGAAAGCGUGGGGAGCAAACAGG